CUGAGGUGGCAAAAACUUGCAAAAGAUACAAAAUCUUCUCGGUUAAUCAAUACUGCAGAAGAGUGUGGAGAGCCUCAGGAGGCCCUAAUCAGUUAGGUGAAUGGGCAGCGUGACGGCAGAUGAAAUCCUUUGAUGAAUAUAAGCCCCAAUUUCAACACACACAAGGUUGCAGAGCAGGCGUGAGACAGCCCCUCGCUGGUCUGGAUUGUACCCGGGAAUGCCACAGGCGGUUGGUCUGGGUUGGAGGAAAUAACAAGCAUGGCAUAAAACCCUCCAGUCUGAAUUUCAAUUGAUUCCUUUUGGACAGGCCAGACAGCAUUUUAACUGCUAGAAGACUGAAGGCCAGACUCUAAUCUCAGCUGUGCUGAUGUAAAUCGGGAGUAAUUCCAUUAAAGUCAAUGAAGGGAAUUUAGUGUCCCGUGAAAAGUACUGGACUGAUAACCCUGGAGACCAAAGUCUUUUAUGCACAGAAUGCAUACAGCACUGGAAGCAGCAGCACAAGCUUCCCCACACUGCCCUGCCAAUGUGCUUCAAACCUGACCUGAAAGAAUCAUUUGUAAGGAUAAAGGGUAGUUCAGUCUCCAUACACAAUCAAGCCCCAGCCAUAAAGAGCGAGAAACCAGUACCGUGCUAUAUGUUUUCAGACUCUUCCUUCUAUCUUCUCUUAACCUAGGGGUUCUCUUGUCCUGACCUGUCAGUUUACUUUGAUACAGUUCCACAAUGUUCAGUUCUAGUCAGCUUCCAUUUCCUGGUAAGUGUUUCUGGCCACUGUGAUGCUAUAGGUGUUAUUUAUUUGAGUCUGGUUUCUUUGGCUACCCAGAUUAUGAUGCCAUCAAGCAGUUUUAUGUUCUGCUAAUGAUAUGAUGCUUCAUGUUGUAGUGGAUUACUCAUAGUGAAUCUCCCACAUUUAUUUCUGGAUGAUUUUCUCUGUUAAUUUCCUCCCAUGCCGCCUCCUAAGAUUCCCCACUGCCCUCAGUUUUCUCAGAGGAUCCAGUCAUUCACUGGUUUUGGUUUGUGAGAGGGGGCAGUUUAUCCUGGACUCUGAAAAUUCUGUAGAAGUUAACAGUGCUUAUGAGCGUCUGUGAUGGCUUUUGCACUGCUUGUCUGAUUAGCUUGUAGGCUGGAAAUAUUACCUAAGGGCUAGAUUCAUUCAGAUUUUACACCACCAUAGCUUUUCUGCCUUGGUAAUUAUGUGGCCUGAUCACAACACCACUGGCCUGCUGGUUGAUGUUAGGCAAAUCAUAGCCUGCCCCAUGCCUCAGUUUCCCCAUCUCUAAAAUGGGAAUAAUGAUAGUGAUCAUCUUUGAGAUUGAAAAGGGCUAUAUAAGAGCUAGGUAGUAGGAGUAGGAGUAUCUUAGGGCAGGUCUACACUUAAAAAGCUGCAUUAUAGGGCUUUAGUAAAGAUGCUGCUAUGCCGAUGGGAGAGCUUCAUAGUUAAUCCACCUCUAUGAGAGGUGGUAACUGUGUUGUCAGGAGAAGCCCUCCCAUCAACAGCGCCAUCUACACCGGGUGUUAGGUCAGUAUAACUGUCACUCAAGGGUGUGGACCUAGUUAUACCGCUGUAAGUUUGUAGUGUAGACCUGGCCUUAGCGUCACAGAGUGAGUGAGUGGCCACUUUAAGAGGGAGCAGGACCAGUGUGCCUGUGACCGGAAAGCUGAUCCAAUUAGGUUUAAAAGAGGCACCUGGGCCUAGAGGGGAGAGACACUGUGGUGAAUCAGAGCAGCAGGAAGUUCCCUGCCAGACCUCCCUGGGACAGGGGCACCAGGUUUAUAAAAUUUUUGGUGGUGCCCAGAAUGGGUCCACGCAGAGCUGUCCCACCCUGGACCCAGUGCUUUGGGAGGCCCCAUGUUCAGGAGGACGUGGGAUCCAGGGUGGCCUGGGAGGUUAGCGGGGGGCCUGGCAUCUGCAGCAGUGAGCGACUUGGUUGUCCCAGUCUGUCCUAUGGACGGGACGGCUCUGAAAAUAUAAGCUCAAACAUUGGUGGAGCCAGGACCAUGUUCCUGAAUAUUGGUGGAGCAGGAGCACCAAGGGCCCAUAUAACUCGCAGCUUAUGCCCUGGGAGGGGAGGCAAUAGGAACCUGAUGGUGAGGGCUUCCAGAGAGAGAACCCUGGGUGGUGGUGCUCAGUGAACAGAGCACCAAAGCUUCCUGCAGGAAGCCUUGAAACAGGAAGGAGUAAGAGGUAAAGGGGAAAAAUCCCUAGUGGGGAUGU